GUCUACGGCCAUGCCACCCUGAAAGUGCCCGAUCUCAUUUGAUCUCAGAAGCUGAGCAAGGUCAAGACUGGUUAGUACUUGGAUGGGAGACCACCUAGGAAUACCAGGAACUGUAGGCG
rnacentral:rRNA from 1 species